AGCGGCGGACGGGUGAGUAACACGUGGGUAACCUGCCCAAGAGACUGGGAUAACACCUGGAAACAGAUGCUAAUACCGGAUAACAACACUAGACGCAUGUCUAGAGCUUGAAAGAUGGUUCUGCUAUCACUCUUGGAUGGACCUGCGGUGCAUUAGCUAGUUGGUAAGGUAACGGCUUACCAAGGCAAUGAUGCAUAGCCGAGUUGAGAGACUGAUCGGCCACAUUGGGACUGAGACACGGCCCAAACUCCUACGGGAGGCAGCAGUAGGGAAUCUUCCACAAUGGACGAAAGUCUGAUGGAGCAACGCCGCGUGAGUGAAGAAGGGUUUCGGCUCGUAAAGCUCUGUUGGUAGUGAAGAAAGAUAGAGGUUGUAACUGGCCUUUAUUUGACGGUAAUUACUUAGAAAGUCACGGCUAACUACGUGCCAGCAGCCGCGGUAAUACGUAGGUGGCAAGCGUUGUCCGGAUUUAUUGGGCGUAAAGCGAGUGCAGGCGGUUCAAUAAGUCUGAUGUGAAAGCCUUCGGCUCAACCGGAGAAUUGCAUCAGAAACUGUUGAACUUGAGUGCAGAAGAGGAGAGUGGAACUCCAUGUGUAGCGGUGGAAUGCGUAGAUAUAUGGAAGAACACCAGUGGCGAAGGCGGCUCUCUGGUCUGCAACUGACGCUGAGGCUCGAAAGCAUGGGUAGCGAACAGGAUUAGAUACCCUGGUAGUCCAUGCCGUAAACGAUGAGUGCUAAGUGU
rnacentral:rRNA from 1 species